UUGAGUGCGCAAAGUGCCAUAGCAUAGAGAAGUAGUGAAAUAUGAAAUUCAUUUGCCAAAACUUCUCCAAAUAUUAACCCCUGCAAAAGAAUUAGAUUAGGAACAAUACAAAGGCAUGGAAAAAGUCUUCUAAAAACAGAGAAAUUGAAUCCAGAGAAGAAGAAACCAGAUGAAAAAUUUAACAUUCAAUCAGGAAAAUAAUGUAUUGAGAUGGAGGAACAAAUUCGC
rnacentral:lncRNA from 1 species